rnacentral:SRP_RNA from 1 species
GCCAGGCAUGGUGGCACAUGUCUGUAAUCCCAGCUACUCUGGAGGCUGAGGCAGGAGAAUCGCUUGAACCUGGGAGGCGGAGGUUGCAGUGAGCCGAGAUCAUAAUACUGCACUCCAGCCUGGGUGACAGAGCGAGAUUCCAUCUUAAAAAAAAAAAAAGAAAUGGAGUCUUGCUCUGUCACCCAGGCUGGAGUGCAGUGGUGUAAUCUCGGCUCACUGCAGUCUCUGCCUCCUGGGUUCGAGUGAUUCUCCUGCCUCAG